UACAGAGGUCCCAAGCGUUGUUCGGAUUCACUGGGCGUAAAGGGUGCGUAGGUGGCGAGGUAAGUUUGAAUGUGAAAUCGUCCGAGCUCAACUCGGAAACUGCAUUGAAUACUAUCUUGCUAGAGGGUUGGAGGGGAGAACUGGAAUUCUCGGUGUAGCAGUGAAAUGCGUAGAUAUCGAGAGGAACACCAGUGGCGAAGGCGAGUCUCUAGACAACUCCUGACACUGGAGGCACGAAAGCUAGGGGAGCAAACAGGAUUAGAUACCC
rnacentral:rRNA from 1 species